GUAGAAUUGGCCAGUGGGCUUCUGCAGGGGGAAGUGUCAUUGACAUUGACCUGGAGAUGGGUGAGGCAGAAUUUUGCUGCUGCCAGUUAGAGAGGAGAGGAGGUGACAGGAGAGAGAACCCCAUAGCAAGAAGAGAUGGAAUUAGAAUUGGAGUUAGAAGGGGUAGAAAAUAUAGCAGGUGGUCAUCAACAAGUACUGGGCACUAGUCACAUGCUGGGCACUGUCCUAGGCACCAAGGAUAUACCCAAGGAGCAGACAAGAGGGUUUCUGCUCUCCAGGGUAGAGGCAGGCAGAACCCAGUCCACAGGCCAAAGCUGGCCUACUGCUUUUAUAUGCUUGCAAAACAAGAAUGCUUUUACAAUUUUCAAAUAAUUUCAAAAAUCAAAAGAAGAAUAUUUCAUGACAUGUGAAAAUUGUAUAGAAUUGAAUUUCAGGAUCCAUAAAUAAAGUUUUAUUGGAACAC
rnacentral:lncRNA from 1 species